ACAUGUGUCAUACUGUUAACAGGAAAUUCCCAUUAAAAACAGAAACAGACAAGUGUAUAAUAUUAGGAAUUCUGUAAUUCUUUGCCAGUUCAAAACUGUGGAUUUUAAAGAGAACACUAUUGGCAAUGAAGAUAGUAACGAAGGAAUACACUGAACGCAUCCUGAAAUUUACUUCUUUUCCGAAAAAUGUUUUAUGUCAGUUAUGUAUUGAACGCAAUGGAGCAGUUUAUUGGUGUAACGACUGCAAAAAGACGAUUUGCAAUUCCUGUAAGCUAUACCAUGAAAAAGUUUGGAUAGUAAUGGAUCACCAUCUUUCGCCUUUACCUCCAGUGAUCUGAAUCUGCACAAGAGACAUCAAGUCGAUAUAGUGAUGUGAUGUAUAUUAUAUCAUGGUGUAAGACAAUACGGAAACGUUUGCUUCAUGUUCUGUUUUCAUUUAACUUUUUAGAUAAUCCAUAACACUUGAUUGCCGUUGAAUGUGUUUACGCUUUUCUUAACAGUGCAGUCUGGACCAUGUUUUAUCACAUAUUGUAUAAAUUAAAUAGAAUAUAUGUUUAGAGAGGUAAGGGGAUGACCACUCGAAUUUUGGUGGGAAUUUCGGUGAGGGCAGGAGGAAUAUGGUAACGAAUAUUCAGACGUUUUCAUUUAUCAUAAAGAAAAUGAAUACUCUGCAUAAACAGUUUUUGCGAAAUUGAAAAACAAAUGUGGCUUGUGAAGGCAAAAAUCAGGCAAAGAAAUAACUAUAUUCCAGCUGGUAUAAACGUCCUGCCCUCCAAAAAAUAAAAUGGUUCUCCUCUGAGGAAAACUCGAAUAGUUAAUUUUCCCUGAAUUUAUCAAAAAAUAAUAAAAAGGACGUUCUUAAUCAAACCCACAUUUUGAUGAAAGUAAAAAUGUGUAUAGUAUUGCGAAGUAAACAAUUUGUUUUGGUUGUAGACGUCCUUUAAUACAAUCUUUUAGAUCAAAUUCAGGAGAAAUUGGCAAUACCUCUCUCGUAUUGAUUUCUUUGAUCAGCAGAUCAGGUUUAAAAUAGUAUUGUGUCUAUUAGAAGAAAAAAGUUUACCAUCAAUAUCCUAUCCUUAGACAAGGAUGUUAUGGGGAAUAAUUAAUUAAAAAAAUAUUUUUGAAAAUUAUUUAAAAAGUUUUUUUUGACACGCUCAUCGAUGAACAUUUUUUUUUAAAUGUGUUGAUUGCAUUAUAUUAUGUACUUUCAAUCAUUUCAAAGUAACUUUCAAUAAAAAAAAGUUAACUAUA